rnacentral:tRNA from 1 species
GGGGAUAUAGCUCAGUUGAUAGAGUGCUUGCUUUGCAUGCACAAGGUCCUGGGUUCAAUCCCCAGCACCA